UACGGAGGAUCCAAGCGUUAUCCGGAAUCAUUGGGUUUAAAGGGUCCGUAGGCGGUUUAAUAAGUCAGUGGUGAAAGCCCAUCGCUCAACGGUGGAACGGCCAUUGAUACUGUUAAACUUGAAUUAUUAGGAAGUAACUAGAAUAUGUAGUGUAGCGGUGAAAUGCUUAGAGAUUACAUGGAAUACCAAUUGCGAAGGCAGGUUACUACUAAUGGAUUGACGCUGAUGGACGAAAGCGUGGGGAGCGAACAGG
rnacentral:rRNA from 1 species